rnacentral:rRNA from 1 species
CACGUAGGGUGCGAGCGUUGUCCGGAAUUAUUGGGCGUAAAGAGCUCGUAGGCGGUGUGUCGCGUCGGCCGUGAAAACCUGCAGCUUAACUGUGGGCUUGCGGUCGAUACGGGCAUCACUGGAGUUCGGCAGGGGAGACUGGAAUUCCUGGUGUAGCGGUGAAAUGCGCAGAUAUCCGGAGGAACACCGGUGGCGAAGGCGGUUCUCUGGGCCUUACCUGACGCUGAGGAGCGAAAGCGUGGGGAGCAAACAGG